GAAAUGCGAUAAGUCGUGUGAAUUGCAGAAUUCAGCUAAUCAUCGAAUCUUUGAACGCACAUUGCGACCCUUGGUAUUCCAUGGGGCAUGCCUGUUCGAGCGUCAUUUGUACCCUCAAGCUUUGCUUGGUGUUGGGCGUCUUGUCCUCUUCUGGAGGACUCGCCUCAAAACAAUUGGCAGCCGGCAUAUUGGUAUCGGAGCGCAGCACAAGUCGCACUUUGUUCCAUGAAUGUUGGCAUCCAUCAAGACCAUUUUUUCACUCUUAACCUCGGAUCAGGUAGGACUACCCGCUGAACUUCA
rnacentral:misc_RNA from 1 species